CUACGGUGAAUACGUUCCCGGACCUUGUACACACCGCCCGUCAAGCCAUGGAAGCUGGGUGUACCUAAAGUCGGUAACCGUAAGGAGCCGCCUAGGGUAAAACUAGUAACUGGGCU
rnacentral:rRNA from 1 species